rnacentral:lncRNA from 1 species
CGUUUCCUCCUCCCUAUCUCAUUCUCCAUCUUGUCUCAAAUCAUAUCUUCUCCAUCUCCCCUCAGAUCCUUCGUGUAUAUUCAUACUUAUAUACUUUCCUAUAUCCCCACCAUGUCUUCAGUAUCUCAUAUACAUUAUCUCCCCAAGACUGACUGUUACCCCAUCCAUCUGAUCACUCUACUUCCUCUUCAAGUUUCUGCUUCUAGUGUCUCUCCAGAUCUUGAUAGCCUGCUUUUUCUAGGUUUGCUCUGCCUUUCCCAUUUGACCCUUGACUCUAGGAUAUCUCUCUGUAUCUGUAUCUGUAUCUGUAUCUGUACCUGUAUCUGUACCUGUAUCUGUAUCUGUAUCUGUAUCUGUAUCUGUAUCUGUAUCUGUAUCUGACUAACCCUUUGCCCUCCCCUAGGCUUUCUACCUCACUCUUUGUAUCUGAAGGGCUGUGUUUUCCUCUUUGUGCAGAUGACAGCC